GACGAACGCUGGCGGCGUGCUUAACACAUGCAGGUCGAGCGGUAAGGCCCUUUCGGGGGUACACGAGCGGCGAACGGGUGGGUAACACGUGGGUGACCUGCCCUCAGCUCUGGGAUAAGCCUGGGAAACCGGGUCUAAUACCGGAUAUGACUCCAUGACGCAUGUUGUGGGGUGGAAAGCCUUGUGCGGCUGAGGAUGGGCCCGCGGCCUAUCAGCUUGUUGGUGGGGUGAUGGCCUACCAAGGCGACGACGGGUAGCCGGCCUGAGAGGGCGACCGGCCACACUGGGACUGAGACACGGCCCAGACUCCUACGGGAGGCAGCAGUGGGGAAUCUUGCGCAAUGGGCGAAAGCCUGACGCAGCGACGCCGCGUGAGGGAUGACGGCCU
rnacentral:rRNA from 1 species